GCGACAGGCUUAACACAUGCAAGUCGAGGGGCAGCACAGGUAGCAAUACCGGGUGGCGACCGGCGCACGGGUGAGUAACGCGUAUGCAACUUACCUAUCAGAGGGGGAUAACCCGGCGAAAGUCGGACUAAUACCGCAUGAAGCAGGGGCCCCGCAUGGGGAUAUUUGCUAAAGAUUCAUCGCUGAUAGAUAGGCAUGCGUUCCAUUAGGCAGUUGGCGGGGUAACGGCCCACCAAGCCGACGAUGGAUAGGGGUUCUGAGAGGAAGGUCCCCCACAUUGGUACUGAGACACGGACCAAACUCCUACGGGAGGCAGCAGUGAGGAAUAUUGGUCAAUGGCCGAGAGGCUGAACCAGCCAAGUCGCGUGAGGGAUGAAGGUUCUAUGGAUCGUAAACCUCUUUUAUAAGGGAAUAAAGUGCGGGACGUGUCCCGUUUUGUAUGUACCUUAUGAAUAAGGAUCGGCUAACUCCGUGCCAGCAGCCGCGGUAAUACGGAGGAUCCGAGCGUUAUCCGGAUUUAUUGGGUUUAAAGGGUGCGUAGGCGGCCUUUUAAGUCAGCGGUGAAAGUCUGUGGCUCAACCAUAGAAUUGCCGUUGAAACUGGGGGGCUUGAGUAUGUUUGAGGCAGGCGGAAUGCGUGGUGUAGCGGUGAAAUGCAUAGAUAUCACGCAGAACCCCGAUUGCGAAGGCAGCCUGCCAAGCCAUGACUGACGCUGAUGCACGAAAGCGUGGGGAUCAAACAGGAUUGGAUACCCUGGUAGUCCACGCAGUAAACGAUGAUCACUAGCUGUUUGCGAUACACUGUAAGCGGCACAGCGAAAGCGUUAAGUGAUCCACCUGGGGAGUACGCCGGCAACGGUGAAACUCAAAGGAAUUGACGGGGGCCCGCACAAGCGGAGGAACAUGUGGUUUAAUUCGAUGAUACGCGAGGAACCUUACCCGGGUUUGAACGCAUUCGGACCGAGGUGGAAACACCUUUUCUAGCAAUAGCCGUUUGCGAGGUGCUGCAUGGUUGUCGUCAGCUCGUGCCGUGAGGUGUCGGCUUAAGUGCCAUAACGAGCGCAACCCUUGCCACUAGUUACUAACAGGUAAAGCUGAGGACUCUGGUGGGACUGCCAGCGUAAGCUGCGAGGAAGGCGGGGAUGACGUCAAAUCAGCACGGCCCUUACAUCCGGGGCGACACACGUGUUACAAUGGCGUGGACAAAGGGAAGCCACCUGGCGACAGGGAGCGAAUCCCCAAACCACGUCUCAGUUCGGAUCGGAGUCUGCAACCCGACUCCGUGAAGCUGGAUUCGCUAGUAAUCGCGCAUCAGCCAUGGCGCGGUGAAUACGUUCCCGGGCCUUGUACACACCGCCCGUCAAGCCAUGGGAGCCGGGGGUACCUGAAGUCCGUAACCGCGAGGAUCGGCCUAGGGUAAAACUGGUGACUGGGGCUAAGU
rnacentral:rRNA from 1 species